UACGAAGGGGGCUAGCGUUGCUCGGAAUCACUGGGCGUAAAGGGUGCGUAGGCGGGUCUUUAAGUCGGGUGUGAAAGCCUGGGGCUCAACCCCAGAAGUGCAUUCGAAACUGCAGAGCUUGAGUCUUGGAGAGGGCAGUGGAAUUCCGAGUGUAGAGGUGAAAUUCGUAGAUAUUCGGAGGAACACCAGUGGCGAAGGCGACUGCCUGGACAAAGACUGACGCUGAGGUGCGAAAGCGUGGGGAGCAAACAGG
rnacentral:rRNA from 1 species